AUGAUCGGCUCCUUUUACAUCUGACUCUUUGUCAACCGCUUUGGCAGGCAUAAUUCAACGCUGAUUGUCAACCUGUUGGCUGUCACUGGUGGCUGCCUUAUGGGACUGUGUAAAGUAGCGAAGUCAGUUGAAAUGCUGAUCCUGGGCCACUUGGUUAUUGGCCUCUUCUGUGGACUCUGCACAGGGUUUGUGCCCAUGUACAUUGGAGAGAUCUCGCCUACUGCCCUGCGGGGUGCCUUUGGCACUCUCAACCAGCUGGGCAUCGUGGUUGGAAUUCUGGUGGCCCAGAUCUUUGGUCUGGAAUUCAUCCUUGGGUCUAAAGAGCUCUGGCCAUUGCUAUUGAGCUUCACCAUCCUGCCUGCUAUCCUACAAAGUGCAACCCUUCCAUUUUGCCCUGAAAGUCCUAGAUUUUUGCUCAUUAACAGAAAAGAAGAGGAGAAUGCUAAGCAGAUCCUCCAGCAGUUGUGGGGCACCCAGGAUUUAUCCCAAGACAUCCAGGAGAUGAAAGAUGAGAGUGCAAGGAUGUCACAAGAAAAGCAAGUCACCGUGCGAGUGUCCAGCUACCGACAGCCCAUCAUCAUUUCCAUUGUGCUCCAGCUCUCUCAGCAGCUUUCUGGCAUCAAUGCUGUGUUCUACUACUCAACAGGAAUCUUCAAGGAUGCAGGUGUUCAAGAGCCCAUCUAUGCCACCAUCAGUGCGGGUGUGGUUAAUACGAUCUUCACUGUAAUUUCUCUAUUUCUGGUGGAAAGGGCAGGAAGAAGGACUCUGCAUAUGAUAGGCCUUGGUGGGAUGGCCUUUUGUUCCACGCUCAUGACUGUUUCUUUGUUAUUAAAGGAUAACUAUAAUGGGAUGAGCUUUGUCUGUAUUGGGGCUAUCCUGGUCUUUGUAGCCUUGUUUGAAAUUGGACCAGGCCCCAUUCCCUGGUUUAUUGUGGCCGAACUCUUCAGCCAGGGCCCCCGCCCAGCUGCGAUGGCAGUGGCCGGCUGCUCCAACUGGACCUCCAACUUCCUAGUCUGAUUGCUUUUCCCCUCUGUUGCUCACUAUUUAGGAGCCUACAUUUUUAUUAUCUUCACUGGCUUCCUCAUUACCUUCUUGGCCUUUACCUUCUUCAAAGUCCCUGAGACCCGUGGCAGGACUUUUGAGGAUAUCACACGGGCCUUUGAAGGGCAGGCACACAGUGCAGAUAGAUCUGGGAAGGACGGUAUCAUGGAGAUGAACAGCAUCCAGCCUCCUAAGGAGACCACCACCAAUGUCUAA